rnacentral:sRNA from 1 species
GGGCCGGGUGACAUGAGGGAUCUGCUGUGUGGAACAUCGUGGGGUCAUCUUUCCCUUUCAGGAAGUGGCAGUAAUGGUAGGAGUGGGUGAGAAGGCGCCCUGCCUCAGAGGCCAGGCCUGGGUCUUUGGGGUGUCUCUUUGGUUGGGGCCACCUUUUCUGACUUGAAAUAAGAACACAUCCUCGCACGUCACCACCGAGGUCCGUGGGCACAGUGAUUCACAGAGGCGGCGUCACCGCACGGACAGCUGUCUUUGGAGCACGUCUAGGACAUUGUGUAGUGGAUGCCGAGAGCAAUCUGGGCUCGCUUUGAGAUGGUUGCUUCCUUUCAACUGGGCCUGCCCCAUCACACCUGCUUUUGGUUUUUCGGGCUUUAGUGCUUUGCCUGCCCAUCAAGGCUCGGCUAGAAUCCCGCUGUCCUUCUCUCCAAAAAAUGACGCAACUGGCUCGUUAAUCUCAGGCUGCUUUUCUCAUAGACAAAGAGAGACUUGUUGAAAUGCUCCGUGCCAUGAAGCAGAAGGCACUGUCAGCAGCAGUGGCCGACUCCUUGACAAACUCUCCGAGGGACAGUCCUGCCGUCUCCCUGAGUGAACCAGCCACGCAGCAAGCCUCUCUGGAU